rnacentral:rRNA from 1 species
AUUGAACGCUGGCGGCAUGCCUUACACAUGCAAGUCGAACGGUAACGCGGGGCAACCUGGCGACGAGUGGCGAACGGGUGAGUAAUGCAUCGGAACGUGCCCAGUAGUGGGGGAUAGCCCGGCGAAAGCCGGAUUAAUACCGCAUACGACCUACGGGUGAAAGCGGGGGACCGUAAGGCCUCGCGCUAUUGGAGCGGCCGAUGUCAGAUUAGGUAGUUGGUGGGGUAAAGGCCUACCAAGCCUUCGAUCUGUAGCUGGUCUGAGAGGACGACCAGCCACACUGGGACUGAGACACGGCCCAGACUCCUACGGGAGGCAGCAGUGGGGAAUUUUCGGACAAUGGGCGCAAGCCUGAUCCAGCCAUGCCGCGUGCGGGAA